rnacentral:lncRNA from 1 species
UACACGUUAUAAAGACUAUACAGAAAGAGUUCAAAUUUAUAAAAUUUCAACAUGUCCAUUGAACAGCAAACACUUUGGCAGACAUCAUAGCCACUGAAAGUCUGAAGCAAAGGAGAGGAUUUUACUUGGAAGGAGCGAUAUCAAGGUAUGCAGUCAAAACGCUAGAGGACGAAUGGGUCAGAGAACCAGAUUGAGGUUUUUGUGAGGAAAAUGAAUGUUUGCUCCAUGGAAAUCAAAACGUCGGAGUAAAAUGUUUUGAAAGAUAAAUGAUUCUUGGG